GGACGGCAGCGGUGGGAAUAGCAGCAGCAGCAGCAGCAGCAACCGUGGCGGUGUUUCGCUUUGGUGUCUCCCCGGGAGAGGGGAGAGCCGGCACGCAGGGAAUUUGAACUCAGGUGGAAACUGGAGGUGGACAUACAGCAAUAUUGUGGCUUCUUUGCAAGGAAGACCUCAGCACCUUUCCCCCCAGCAAGGGCCAUCCUGAAGGGGGAUUUGGGUUUGGGGUGACUCAUCUGCAAGAGCAGCACAGUCUGUAAUUUUCCUCAGCUUUUAACAAGGCUGGGAAAACUUGCUGCACGCCAUUCUGGACUCUCCGACUCCAGAAAGAUGUCAACAAAGUGGAAGGCGAGCCUCCUGGCCUGCGAGGGACUCUCUGGUGUAUGCCUGGUGCCAACAGUUGCCAGCAAGAAGAUGAUGCCGAAACAAAGCUCUAAGCAGGUGGAGAACGGGGAGAGAGGGGGUGCGCCGGACAUGCUGGGUCAUCGCAAGGAGAGCGAGAAAUCACGUAGUCGGAAGGAAGAAGAAACAGCAGAAGGGUCUCCUCCUAAAAAAUCCCUUAAAAAGGUAAUGGUGAUAGAACAGAAUGGAUCCUUCCAGGUCCGGAUUCCCAAGAAUUUUAUUUGCGAGCACUGUUUUGGAGCAUUCCGGAGCAGUUACCACCUCAAGAGACAUAUCCUUAUUCAUACUGGAGAGAAGCCUUUUGAGUGUGACGUCUGCGACAUGCGCUUCAUCCAGAAAUACCAUCUGGAGCGCCACAAACGUGUCCACAGUGGAGAGAAGCCAUAUCAGUGUGAACGCUGCCUGCAGAGCUUCUCCAGGACAGACCGGUUGCUGAGACACAAACGAAUGUGCCAGGGCUGCCCCAGCAAAGCAUCUGACUCCCAGCUACUGCUUUAGGGUUGGGCCAUAGAAGAGGCUUUUAAGAAGUUGCUGGGAAGUCCACCAGAUGCUCUGGGAGUGGGCUUGUUCACCUGCUUGUGUUUUGUCCCCAAGUUUGCCUGCUGAGCCUAUCUCCUGUGGAAGCGGCAGAGCUGAGCGGGCACAGACUUCAACUUAUGGUCUUGACACUGUAAAUACAUGGAGGACAAAGCAGGGCUGGCUCCCAGCCAUUGGGAAGCUCACUGCAGUUGUGGAUAAACAUUGCCGGGGUGCGCUUUCUGUUUCUGUUUUAGGUCUUUUUUUUUUUCUUUUUUUUUUUUGAAAUUUGAAAUUAUCACCAUUUGCCUCAGGAAAGGCUUUGAAAAGCAUUGCGGGGCCUUCCGCGAGCCAUUCCGACCAGAUCCGGUGCUCUCCAUUAACAGACGAUCUGCCAGCUGGCCUGAUAUUUGGGCUUGCAAAAAAAAAAAAAAAAGUGGGAGAACAGGAGGCAAAUAUUUUAUGAGAAACAGUGAUCACCGCCAGUCAAGCAGUGAACUAUUUUGCGGAGCUGAUCCACACCAGGAACGGAUUAGCAGCGGCAGGAUACUGAGACCUGGGAUCACAGGAGUCUGUCUCAUUUAUGCUAGGCCGUGAGGCCUACGGGACAUUCCCCCCCCCCCUCCUUUCCAUGCUAUUCUCUUUAACAGUGAUUUGUGGUCUCGACUUUCAGGUUUCAAGAAACAAGGGCUGCAGAAGGUGACAAAUGCUUUUGGGUCAACCUAGAAGUCUACCUUAGAUGUGCUCCAUUUAUCAAGAUCCAGUUGAUAUUCAGCUGGCUGGAAGGCUCUGUUUUCCUCCCAGGAGAGGAGGAUACUUGUAUGUGGUCCCUUCUCUUUCCCUUGUAAAUAGCCAUCCAUUCAGGACUUACCUGUUACAUAUCUCUUCAAGCGGAAUCCAGAGCUUUCUUAGGGGGCAAUCCUGUUUUCCUAAAUACAUGAAAAGCCAGCUCUGGCCCAUGGGCACCUAUCUUCUAAACCUGAUGCUGAAGAACUACAGUCUCUGUGAGGGAGGGACUUCGGCCUCUUGAUAUGUUUCUUGGAAUAAAAUACUGGAGGACUGGAGGUCAGCAUUCCCAUGCACCAUGAAUUCUGAUUGCUCCUGGGCUGCUUCGUUGAAGUUUGAAAAAGAGGCUUGUUGCCAAUAUGCAAAUUUUUAUAUGUGCUAUUAUUUUAGCUUAGUUGCAACAGGCAGCAGCAAGUUUGCAAGGGAAAAAAAUGGGGGGGGGAAACCCUCCCAAGUCCCUUCUCCCUCACUAUCGCAUUUACAAUGGUCUUUCUAGAGGGCAAGUAAUAAUUUGUCUCGGAGUCUGGAAUUUACUUGUUAGGAACAAGCGCCUCCAUCUGAACUAUCAAUACAAAUGUCAUUUGUCCUUCAAAUACAUCCCUCCCUGAGUUAACUUCUGAGUUCGCCAUAAGCACCUUGCUUUAAGCCAGGUUUUAACCAAGGGCUGUGUUGGUAGAGAAAUGAUGGUCUUUGUUUGGUCAUGCUGGAGAGGUUCGUUCUUGAGGGGCUGCAUUUCUGCCUAUGCAACUAGAAAGGUUUGAUAAACAGAGAUGGGAUACUUUAGAUGAGUGCUUUUCAAACUUGACAACUUUAAAAGGUGUGAGCUUCUUAACUCCCAGAUGUGUGGCUGGGAAAUUCUGGGAGCUGAUCUUAAAAAUUGCCAAAUUUGAAAAAAAAUCUGCUUUAGUUCAAGAUUGUUGCGCCCCCCCCCCCCUUCAACCAUUUAAGAGGUUCCAAUGUACUAGCAAAAGGCAUUGUUCUUUUGAUCAUCUUUCUUCUUGCUGCCUAGGGAUCAUGGGAGUUGUAGUCCAACAAAUCUGAAAUACAUUAGCUUGGGGAAUGUUACUGUAGAGGAGAUUUUUUUUUUAAUAAAAGAGCUCUUUAAUUUCCUUCCCCUUGUUCAUCAGAAUACGCAGGUUUAUUCCCAGCCUUGUUAACAUUUCUAAAAUUAACACCAACUUCUAGUCUGCAGUUUAUGGGAAUGAUUAGGACACCCAAAACUCUAGGAGGUUUGUUGCAAUUUUAGUGGGGCUGAUAAAAAUUAAAAUGGCUACUCUUUAGAAAGAACAUACCACCAUAAUGUAUUUCAGUUUACCAAGGACUGUUUUCCCCCAAAAGGAAAUAAAAUAAUUGCUGUAGGAAAAAGCUUGAGGAAAUGUAGAUAUUUGUGGGGGAGGGAAGGGAAAGGAAAUUGGAAUGUAACUGUUUCAGGGGGAAAUAGCAAUGUGCUCAGGUGGGAAAAGAAAACUUGCUUGAGUAGAAGAAAUCUCUUUAUCAAGUACUAGAUGUUUUUCUGUCCUUCCGGACUUAAUCUAAUAAUUGAGACAUGGCACUACAAAGCAUAUUCACAGUUGCCUAGUAUUUCCCCAAGAGGUAAGGUGAAUCUCUUGAGCGAACUGCCUCAUACUGCCGGAUUCUUUAUGUGCCAAGCAGAGUAAUGACUCUAUGCUGUUUUGAUUCCUUCAGGCAGGGGUGUCAAACUGGUGGCCUGCGGGCCAGAUGCAUCACGUGCUGGCUACACCCACCCCAGCUCCACGAACGGGAAAAAUGUCACGAAACGUCACGUGACGGCAACGUGAUGCAGCGAGUUGGAGACCCCUGCUCUAAAAAAUGUGCAGCUUUAGGAGCACAGGGAUGUGUUUUGCUUAGGCUCUGCAUCUUGCUAGGGUGCUGCCAUAGAGACUCAGGAGGCUAAUUAACACUAUGUACUCUGGGAGAGGAAUUCUAUAAGCUGCUGCACACUCUACACCAGCGCAGUCAUUUAUCAAUAACCUAGAUAGGCAUUAAUUGGUGUCUGCCAAUUUUGUUAUCCAGCUCUUUUUCCCUGCUUAGGAGUGAAGGAAGACAAAUGUUAACCUCAAAAACAAGUUGCGUAUGACUUUCAUUGCUGAAUUUUGCUCAGAAGUGGACUAUAGUGUUGAAAGAACAGGAUGGGGGAGAAGGCAGAAAGAGCAACCAUAACAAUUCAGUGAUUAAUAAUUGGACAAAAUAAUAGGGUUCAAGCAUUUUUUGUUGUUAAAUAAUCACCUGCAGGCAGUACAUUAGCAAAACGAGGGGGGGGGAUAGUUUUUUGUGGGAGGAGGUUUUAUUUAAACAAAUCGCUUGGCCCACCCCAAUGAAAUUGAUAGCAUCUAUUAACUGCUGCUGGUUCAUCCCAACUAGAAAUUUUAUGCAGUGGGUAUAAUUGCACUAAGAUCUUUGCAUUUUUUUUUCUUGACAGAGAUAAAAUUGAAAGGAAGUGAAACUUGUCUGGAAGUUUCACUGGUUGCCACUCUUUAAAGUGCAAGGGACCAAAACCAUUUCAGAAUGUAAUUUGUUUUGUUCAAAUAAAAUUAUGCAGAGGCAGUGAGGUGAAAAGAGGACUAAUUUGCUGAAGGUUCAAGAAAGUGAGACUUAGAUUUUAGGUAAAAACAAUGUACUGUUUUAAAAUAUUCACCGUUUUAAAAUAUUCACUGUUUUAAAAUAUUUAGUAGCAGAACAGUGAAUGGGAUUGCAGCAAAGAGUUGGAUGAAUUGGAUGGCUUGGCAAAUCCAGGUAGCAGCAGACUGGAAAAUGGGUUUUGCAUAAAAACGUUAAGUGUACUUCCUUUGCAGGAAUAUAGAGAUACACAAUUUUACCAACACUGUCUAUGGUAAUGCCUCUCCUGGAGAUAGAGAAACCAGUCUUUAGAGAGUAUGUGUGACAAUUUUUCCCUGUAUCUUUGUCCAACCUGAAUAUGUUGCUUAUUAUACAUGUGACCCACAGGAGGUAUUCAAGUCCAGACCUCUGUAAUUCUAACAGAUACGGUCUUGUGUGUGUGGAACAUGGCAGUGUAUGCAAGCCAACCUGUGUGAAAGUCAGGUGGACUGGAACCUUCGUGUACCUUGAGGAGUGCCUGUAUUUGUGUUGCCCUAAAGGGCAGCCAGGGACACGUUUUUGAAGGCGCUUUAUUUCCCUAUGUCCUCCAUCUUACUGCCUUUCCUCCAUGGAAGUGAGAAAUCCCAUUUUGACAAUGGAUGCCAUUGGGAGCUGUUGCUAUUCCCAUUCCUUUUCCUGGGUGCUGGUAGCAGAAGGACAAAUCGUGCUUGUCACAUGGAUCAGGUGCCUUAAGGUGCUUUCCAAUGUGGUGCUGCUGGUCUUAAUUUAGGAGUUUGUUCAAAUAAGAAGGAAACGUAAAGGACCUUUUCUUGCAGUUCAUAUUUGGCUUUUACAUAGACCUCCUGAAAGGAAAACAAUCUAGCACUUCAGCCUGACCAGAUAGCCUCUGGACUUAAUGUGAAGGUCCAAUAGCUUUUUCUAAGAUAAUUUAUUUUCCUUCCCUUUAACUCACUGGUUUUGCAGGGAAGGGAAUUGGGGCAGGGGUGUGUUACCCAAGGACAGGAUCACUUUUAAAUUGUAGUUUUUAUAAGAUGCUAUAAACUUGUAUCUUUUUACCA